rnacentral:rRNA from 1 species
GAUGAACGCUAGCGGCAGGCUUAACACAUGCAAGUCGAGGGGUAACAGGAAUAGCUUGCUAUUUGCUGACGACCGGCGAACGGGUGCGUAACGCGUAUAGAAUUUGCCUUGUACAGGAGGAUAGCCUUUAGAAAUGAAGAUUAAUACUCCAUAAUGUUAAUUGAUGGCAUCGUUAAUUAAUUAAAGAUUUAUCGGUACAAGAUGACUAUGCGUCCUAUUAGCUAGAUGGUAAGGUAACGGCUUACCAUGGCAACGAUAGGUAGGGGGUCUGAGAGGAUUAUCCCCCACACUGGUACUGAGACACGGACCAGACUCCUACGGGAGGCAGCAGUGAGGAAUAUUGGUCAAUGGAGGCAACUCUGAACCAGCCAUGCCGCGUGCAGGAAGACUGCCCUAUGGGUUGUAAACUGCUUUUAUA